CAGUGAAAUUAAAAAUUCCUUGGAUGUCUUGGAUCAUGUACUGUUGGUUUUGAUCAAUUAAAUAGCAUAUGGAGUGCUUAUGAACUACUGGUACUAUCUUGUGAUUUUUAUUUUGGAUAUCUACUGAAAUACAAACAUUGAGAAAGAUGUAUUUGGAUUCUUAGUUUGCUUGUGAAUGAGAUGAAUUUCUAUAGUCAUAAAUUAUCAUAAAAGAAUGGUACACUAAAUUUUAGUGACAAUAACAAGUUGUCACAUAUGAGAUUUUUCAUGACAACAAAAGUUCUUGUCACUUUAAGCUAUUUCAGUGAUAAGAAACUUUAUCACUAAACAGAGUCAUUAUUGUCUCAAAAUCAAUUUACGUUAUUGCAUUGUGACAAGAAUGAUUUAUUUCUGUGACAAGUUAAGUUGCCACAAAUUUUAUUUUCAGUGACAAGUGAAACUCUUGUCUCUGUAAGACUUUUCUGCAAUAAGAGAACUCGUCUCUAAAUAG
rnacentral:lncRNA from 1 species